rnacentral:lncRNA from 1 species
GUUACCAGUAUCUUCUCGCCCUCCUAUUCGAAUUGUUUAUACUCGUCGUGUGCAGCAAUCCCCGGUGGCACCCAUUACUGACCAUGACUUGCCACCUCUACCUAUUGCUUCGCCUCAGGAUUUGUCGCCUUCUCAUGAUCCUACUCUUGAUCUUCCUAUUGCCAUUCGAAAAGGUAAACGGUCAUGUACUUAUCCUGUCUCUUCUUUUGUUUCUUACCAUGCAUUGUCCCCAUCUUCUAGGUCCUUCAUUGCUUCUUUAGAUCAUGCGUCUGUACCAAAAUCUAUCUUUGAGGCUUUGUCCCAUAGUGGUUGGUGAGCGGCCAUGCAAGAAGAAAUGCUGGCAUUGGAACAUAAUCACACAUGGGAAUUGGUUCCUUUACCCCUCAAUGAACAGGCAAUCGGGUGUAAAUGGGUGUUUACAGUCAAGAUGAAUCCCCAUGGAUCCGUUGCUCGAUUGAAAGCUCGUUUGGUUGCUAAGAGGUAUGCUCAAACUUAUGGUGUGGAUUACUCUGAGACUUUCUCUCAUGUUGCUAAACUAGCUUCUGUUCGGUUGUUCAUUUCUCUUGCGGCUACCUAUCAUUGGCCGCUUCAUUAGUUGGAUGUCAAAAAUACUUUUCUCCAUGGUGAUUUGCAUGAGGAAGUUUACAUAGAGCAACCACCAGGGUUUGUUGCUCAGGGGGAGUUAGGGAAGGUAUGCAAACUACAAAAGUCAUUAUAUGGUCUGAAACAAUCACCUCGUGCCUGGUUUGGGAGAUUUAGUGAGGUUGUGACCGAAUUUAGCUUGAAAAGAAGUGCAUAUGAUCACUCAGUAUUCUUUAAACAGUCUACAGUUGGAUGUAUCUUGUUAGUGGUAUAUGUUGAUGACAUUGUGAUUACUGGUAAUGAUAGCAGUGGCAUAAGUAAGUUGAAGGCUUUACUAGGCACAAGGUUUCAGACAAAGGA